ensembl:Y_RNA Y_RNA Y RNA
GGCUGGUCUGAAGGUAGCAGGUUAUCUCAAUUGGUCACAGUUGGUUAUGAUUACACUCCUUGUUCUAUGCUUCCCUCCCUUCUCACUACUGCACUUAACUAGUCUUAU